GAGUAAAGGAUGGUAUUCAAGGACUGAAUCUUCAACAUCUCAAAACUAUUCGCAUCAUUCUGCGGAAAGUUAAUGUUUUCCUGGAGUUCAAAGCAAUGGCACAGCAAAUGUUCUGCGUUAACUUACAGUUAACAAUUCCUGCACCACUUAUACCUACCAGUGUAGCCACCAGAGGACACAGGGUUUCAUCUAGAUCAUGCAGACCAGGCUCUCUUGUCUUGAGUUCUCUAGUGACAUCUUUACCAGUCACAGAGAGCAGAACAGCAUUUCUAGUCAUCGGUCACACCAGUAAUGAAGUAUCUGAUGCCUGCAGAGAACUUCAGCGGGCGUAUGACAGCCAGUGCUCCACACACUCCUUCUACUCAGAGGAGAUCGAACGUCUCAUUCAGGAUGAGAUGAACCAGCUGUUCACUAAAGUCAAUUUACUGCACCUGCAGCUGGAACAGAGCAGCUCUGAAGGAUGGGUAGUUAAAGGGCUGAAGGAUGAUGUGAAUGAGGUGGUUAGACUGAUACAAGAUGUACUUCGCAGACAGGUAAGAGAGAAGGACCAGACAUCACUCUACACUCAAGUCACGUGGUGCAUUCUGGGACCACAGGGUGUUUGGCAGAAGGUUCCCAUAGAGGUUAAUUAUAAGCUUGAGAGAAACAAUGUGAAAGAUGGAAUUAUGGAUGCACAGGGUGUGAAAUGGACUGUGGAUUUGAGAAAGAUGGAGGCCACAGCAUGUGAUUCAGGACAGGUGAUGGCUCUGAAACGAUUGGAGAACCUUCCAGAUUUCUCUUUGCCUAUCUACUGGGACAACAUGAGUCAGUACGAGUGUGUAAAGGUGACUGCUUGCGAUCCGUCGUCUACAGAGUACCAGGAGGUGAAGAUGGGCUUUAAAAA